rnacentral:rRNA from 1 species
UACGUAGGGACCGAGCGUUGUCCGGAAUCAUUGGGCGUAAAGAGCGUGUAGGCGGCCAGGUAGGUCAGCUGUGAAAACUCGAGGCUCAACCUCGAGACGCCGGUUGAAACCAUCUGGCUAGAGUCCGGAAGAGGAGAGUGGAAUUCCUGGUGUAGCGGUGAAAUGCGCAGAUAUCAGGAAGAACACCCGUGGCGAAGGCGGCUCUCUGGGACGGUACUGACGCUGAGACGCGAAAGCGUGGGGAGCGAACAGG